ensembl:lncRNA
ACAAGCAUCACAUGCAUAUAAAAGCAUCACUGUGAAGACCCAGACAACCUGCUGUUAUAUUGCUGUUGAAAUAAAGCCCACUGGGAAUGUCCCGUUGUACCUCCUUGUACAGGAGGAGGUUUUGGCUCUGGCUGCAGGAGAUAUCUUCCAGACACAGUUUUAACUCUCCUGCAGUUAAAACAACUUUUUGUGGAAGAUCCACGGGGGAGCCUUGAUUUUUGUUUGUGAUUGAGUGCUGACUUUACUGACCUGCAAUUAAACAGAGGGGUGUGGUGCAGGGGCUGAAUGGAAAAUUGGAGCAGCCACAUAGAUUAAAAAUGAUAAAUCUGUAUAUAAAUGUUAUAUUUUCAUAAAAGAUACAAAUAUUUCACAUUUAUCGAUACAACUUUAAUUAUUGUUGUUCAAUAAAAUUCAGAAAAUCUGAGAUGGUUUUAUACAGGUGCAACGAUGUCUCACUUAUUGAGACAAAAACAACUCAAUGCCUUAAGGGCAACAACUGGAAACUAUUCUGCAGUAAAUUGCACCAAUUGUGAAUCACCUCCACAAUGAUGCACAUCAAAACAGCCUUUUUGCAAGUCCUCCUCAAUAAUAAUGUGACUGAAAAAAUUGAGGAAUUGUUUUUUGACCCAUGGAAAUAAAUUGUAUGUUGAUAUAGAGUUACAGUUUUAAAUGACGUACACUGUAUGGGAUUGAGAUAGCGACAUGAAAUGCAUUUUCUGAAUAUUUGUAGUAUACUUGGUAAGAUGUUUCUCAUAUCAAAGUCUUUAAAGUGGCUUCCGUUAAGCUAAUACAUACCAACUAUUAGCUAUUAGCUGGAGACACAUAAAAGAGGAGUGUUUAAGUUCCAAUAAAUCAAGCCCGUCAACAGCCAUGUGUUAUGACCCAGACCGAUAUGGGAAAAGAGGGAAUUGUCCUCCAUAAAAUGUGGAAUGCAUGUUACUUGCUAAAUGACUUAACAGGGAACUGCAUUCAUAUGUGAGCUGGGCGACCAUACACAAUUAAAACUAAUUAAGUGUUGUCCUUGAAAAUAGCGUUUCCUUUAGCUGAAGUGUGAAGCACAGGGUAUCAUUUGCACCAUUUUUUUAUUGAAACCGUCCACUAACUUGGAUAUUUAUGAGGAUUUAUGUGAAUUUAAAUAGUCUGUACCUCUGAAGUGAUACAUCUCAACAUGGAGAGCUAGAUUAAUAAACAAAACCUGUUUUUUUCCAUUUAUGUCCCUUCCUUUAUUAUCUGGAUUCGGCUUUCAACUUAAUAGGCUACUUAAUAUUAGAUCAGCAAUAUAGUCUUUACUUCAACAUAGUCUCUGAAUUAUGCCUAAACUGCAGGGAAUAUUGAACAAUAAAUGCUUUGUGCAACCAGUUAUUCCCGGCACGUUUCCACUCAGCAGCAAGGCUCCCUAUCUGCACUCUGGGGACCAAUGGGAGACUAAAUCUGUUUAUUCACUCAACAGGUCAGUAUUUCUACUCACAGCUGCAGGAGUCUCAUGAAUAUUUCCCUGUAUAGAUUUUCAUGUUAUUUUUAUUUUUAU